GGGAUACAAACCUCCAGCAUCCAAGUGGCCACCAUCCUCCUCAUGAAGGGCUGGAUGUCCUUCUGGACGCAUUUGAAGUAGGAGCAUUGGGGCAGAUACCUCUCCUCUAUGUCCCAGAGAACCAUCUUGAAGAUGCUUCAGGGGACAGUGUGGGAUCAAGCUUUGCCUUUGAACCGCAGCCCCCUAGACGUGUUGUAUGUGCGCCCGACGGCCGCAGGUUUUUUGUUUGUUUAAAUGAAAGUAUUCCCUUGCAGUGCUUGAAACCUGAAGGCUGGAGUGUGAAACAUGAGAAUCUGAAAGUGAAACCGACUGGAAGCCAAAAAAGAAACAGAUGAAUGUGUUUCCACUGUCCAAGCUGAGGAAAGCCCCAAAAGCAAACAAACACUGUGAAUAAUAAAAUGUGCAAUAGAUUUGAAAUAAAAUUAUUCCAGCCUCA